UUAAUAAAAAUCGGUGUGUUGCUUCUUUGUGACGCUCCGGAGUUUGGGUCAUCUUAAUAUAUCCUUUAGGUUUUAAGAGGCUUAAAAUUGACUUUUUUUUGCUCAUUUUAUUAGAUGUACAUAAAUUUUUUUUUUUAUUCGUCUGUCUUAAUGCUCAAAAUCCUAUUAGAUGCAACCAUAUCGUGUGGUUUCGUGUCUAUAAAUUUUUCAUG
rnacentral:misc_RNA from 1 species